rnacentral:lncRNA from 1 species
UAAUACUCUCCCAUGCAUUCAUUUCAACAUUAUUAAAUAAAAAUCAAAAUUUAAUAAUUAGUAGGCAUGCAUGUCAAAUUACGAAGCAGAUAACUGACUCUGUAGUCAUAUUUCAGAACAUCAAUAUGUGUAAACAUUUUUUAAUGAUGAGCUACAAAACUAACAACACGAUGUUAGAAGAUUACACUGAUGCCACACAUUCACAAUGGUCAUUUCGGUUCCAAGAUGUUUUAAAAUUUAUAGCUAAAAUCUAUUCAAAUGCAUCUGUUCCUAUGGCAACACAAGCAGCCCUAAACUAGUCAUAUCUUUAUUGUAGAGUGGUCAAGCCCGGUUUACUCUCUUUGCAUUCAAUUAGUCAUAUCCUAUUACAAGGUACGCCAGCCUUCCUCCAUGAAAGCGAGAUAAAGUUAUCAUAUAAACAAAAAAAAAAAAGAAAUAAAGUGGAUUUAAACAUGCAUCCCAUAUAAUCUUCUUCUUCUUUUGCGGCCAUUGAAUGCUUGAAGGUUUGUACAGUUCCUAAAAAAUGCCUCACGUCAUUUUUCUACUUGAUCAUUUAUGCUCGGAUGGUUGAAAAAGAUCAAUAGUUUAAAAUAUAACCCACCUAUGUAUCACCAUAACUUUCGAUGUAGUGGUUAAUAUGAGUGAUUGCUCCAGUCUAUUAAAUCAACUUACGGUCACUGCAACCAAUCUAUGUACUUUAUUGUGCAUUUCUAAUGCAUAUAUGUGAGGACUCAGUGCGGACAUCUGUUUAGUCCCACAUCGGUUAUUCACCGAGAACAUCUUGGUUUCUUAUACAGGAUCAAGAAACUCAAAUAAUACCUUCUGGUUAGCCAUUCUUGGUGAAAUCCUACAUUGUUACAAAUAGUAUUAGAAUGGAUACGAUCCAUAACCUAUGUAAAUUAUGGGACACUACAACACAGAUCUAUUGAAGCUGACCACGGACGUCAGGGCUUGAAUGGAGAAUCGAUCGUGGUACUUGUGAUUAGAUUUUAAUGGAUUUGAAUUCUUAGCCUAACGAGGAUGUCAAGGCUUGAGUAGGGAAGUAUGUGAGGAUCCUUGUGGGCGUGUGUUUAGUUUCACAUCGGUUAUUCGCUGAGAAAAUUUUGGAUACUUAUACAGGAUCAAGGAACCCAAAUAAUACCUUCUAGCUAGCCAUUUUAGAUGAGGUCCUAAAUUGUUAAUAUGUGCAUCAUAUUUGUUGUGAACUAGUGCUUGCACUCUUGAUUCUCUGAAUGUCUAAUACUGGUUUGAGGUCCCAAAAUGUAGUUUAGAUUGGCCAAUCUCCCCAAGCCACAAGGCAUUUCAGGUUAUAGGUCUGCUCAUGGGGGAGACCCUCCGUUUUGAUUGUGAUGCAAUGACUAGCCUACGGUCCUGCCGAUAGGUUGAGAAAAGACAACAAACAAGUGAGUGAAUGAGCCUGAGAAUCUGAAGGUUUUGCCUGUUGAAUUUCAUCCAAAAAUUGUUGAUCAUCUGCUCAUCCCAUAAUACGGUACCUUCGUACAUAUACUGCAUGAACAACUUCCAAUAGUUCCAAUUCGGGCAUAUGAUUGACCCAUCUUGUCCGAUCUUGUACAGCUUCCUCGAUUUAAUUUGCAGGACCAUAUUUAUGAUCCAUCAUAGGUCUAUCUUUCUUUAUUUGUAGAAUUUACUCCUACAGACUUCUUAAAGCUAUCUUCAUUUACUCCUAUUUGGACAAAGGAUGGAGAAAUGCUAUUCCCUCAUCCGAAAAGAUCGUCUUAGAUCCUUGCUUCUAUAAUGAACCUCCAUAGAUGAAACUUAACUAUGCAAACAGGUACAUAUGUGUCAGUUUUAGCCUUGAUCUUUAGCAUUAGAUUCCAUCUCAACUUGUAGUUAGCAUGCACAUAUGACUGAGUUCAGCCAAAUUUUUCCAUGCAUUUGCAAGAUAGAUGGUCCAUGAAGCAUGCACAUGAGCAUGAUACCUUCUUUUAUUCCCAUUUGGGUAGGGGAACAUCCAUGGACAUAGCAUAUCUUAUCUUGAGUUGCUAAAUCUUCUGAUUUGUGUACAGUGGCCUAGAAUAAGAUUGACCCCACAAAGUCUUGAGCCACUUUUCAUGGGUUGGAAUGCAGUAUUUCUAUCUGAUCUGAUCCUAACUACUAACAACCAUCUACUGGUCUGUGCCUAUAAAUUGUGAGAGAUGUAAUGCUGCAAACAUGUCGGUGAGCAACAGUGUCAGUUGUUUGUAUGGGUCCCAAAUUAAGUUUCUAGACUACCUUGUCCAAAACAAUGUCUGCAAGAGGACAACUUCUAGGGUGCAAGCAGUUGCAAUUAUGACCCUCCAACUAGAGCAAGUAGAGGUUUACUCAUGACUGAAAAUUUUGAUUGUAUUCCUUACAUUUAAAAUUCGAGGACAUUUUAUUUGAAGGAGAGAUUGGACGAAGCCUAAUCGCUUUCGUUCAGUAAAUGAAAGAGACGGAGCACAUUUAAAAGAAUGAGAAAAGGAACAAAAGAGCAGUUGGUGAGAUGCAAAGAGAAAUAAGAGCAGCUAUGUCGGCCAACACUGCUUACUCCUGGAAUAACAAUUCCAGGAGAACUUGAAUAGCAGUAUUCCUAGGAUAAUGCCCUCUCUUUUUCCUGCCCACUUUUACAUGGGCAAAGAGAGCUAUUUUUGCGAGAAAUAAGAAAUUUCUUCUGAACAAAAACAGGAGAAACGACUCAUUCCUAUACUGCCUUUUCUUGUUCUUGAACAAAUACAACCUUGGUGGAAUUCUUUGGACGUCUCACUCUAGUAUUCCUAUUCAGUUUAGAGAUGUACUGUUUUCUCAUUCUGUAGGAUGUAUUCAUGCAUGUAUGAGCCAUCUGGUUUAACGAAAAGAAAAACAAAAAGAAAACAAAUACAACCCAAAAUAUUGGUUCAAGCAGGCCAGGUAGAAUUUAGUCCAAUGUAUUGCUCAAUUUAAUUCACAGCCAAGCCCAUCCUCUAAUUCUAGACCAAUGUAACAGAUGUAGGUAUGUUGAGAACUGUGCUUCAGCUACGUUUGUGAUGAAUCUCACAGAAUUUGAUCCAACCCAGUGAUCAGGAUCUAACUUUGCUCAUUUCAAACCUGUCAUGAAAAGGACUUGUUAUGCAGAUUAUUUGAGUCAAAUCUUGGUUCAAGUCAAGAUCUAAGUUGCCCACAAUUCUAAACUCUUUCAGUUGAGAUAGUAAGGCCCAUGUAGCUACUUGGUUGCACCUAGCUUUUAUGCUCUCUGCAAAUAGAGCACUAAAACUUAAUUUAAGGACUUAUAUAUUCAAGUUCAUUACUGAACAGAUCAAGGCCAGACCUCAAUUUUUAGUUCGACAUGUGAUCUACUCAAAACUCUAAUGACAUCCGACUCGCAGAAAUGAGUAGCAAUUCAAGCCAAACUCCUUAUGUGUCUGGUGAGCAAAGCUUAAACAGUCGUCGCUGAGGUUGGUUUUAUAAAGUCUGAUAUGUAUUGCUGUUUUUGA